CGUCGACGAGCCGUGGUUGCGGCUCGGCCCGCUGUCGAUGGGCUGGUUCGUCGACGCCCGCGACGGCGGCGUGCAACCCGCACCGCCCGCGCCC
rnacentral:tRNA from 1 species